rnacentral:rRNA from 1 species
GAUGAACGCUGGCGGCGUGCCUAAUACAUGCAAGUCGAGCGAACAGACGAGGAGCUUGCUCCUCUGACGUUAGCGGCGGACAGGUGAGUAACACGUGGAUAACCUACCUAUAAGACUGGGAUAACUUCGGGAAACCGGAGCUAAUACCGGAUAAUAUAUUGAACCGCAUGGUUCAAUAGUGAAAGACGGUUUUGCUGUCACUUAUAGAUGGAUCCGCGCCGCAUUAGCUAGUUGGUAAGGUAACGGCUUACCAAGGCAACGAUGCGUAGCCGACCUGAGAGGGUGAUCGGCCACACUGGAACUGAAACACGGUCCAGACUCCUACGGGAGGCAGCAGUAGGGAAUCUUCCGCAAUGGGCGAAAGCCUGACGGAGCAACGCCGCGUGAGUGAUGAAGGUCUUCGGAUCGUAAAACUCUGUUAUUAGGGAAGAACAAAUGUGUAAGUAACUAUGCACGUCUUGACGGUACCUAAUCAGAAAGCCACGGCUAACUACGUG